rnacentral:lncRNA from 1 species
AAUAUUUGCUUUUUUUGCAACAGAGGGAAAGUUUGCUUUCCCAGUAUAUGGGUUAACCUUCCAAAUGCAGGAAUAUGCUGAAAUUUGAGAACAGAAAUACAGCAAAAUAGCCAAAAGCAGGUGCUCUGAAUAUACUGAGUUAUGUUUUAUGAUUAUUGAUAAAUCUAUGAUUUGUAGGUCUCAUUGUACUUACACUGCACAAACCACUAUCCAUUACCAUAUAUGUCGUUAGAGAAGACUAGAAAAACAAUUUCUUUUCUUCUGAAUGACAACAAAAGACCACAGUUCUAUGUGUAGUCUUCACACCUGGAGUUUCUCUUCUUGAGCACUGGGAUGUAGGUCAAACUACACAGCAGGAGUUUGUGUUGUCUUGGCAUGAAGCAGAAGAUGGAAUGUCAACAGCAGGUCCAUAAUACCAUUCCUCCUGGAUGGUAUUCUGCCCUGAAAGUGCACAAAAGAGGAAAAUCCUCCCUGUUCAUGGAAGGUACAGAAAAAACAGAUUUUAUUGGAACUGUGUUUCUUGAAAAUGAGAGAGUAGCCUCAAGAGAGGCUACUAUGAAAUCCCUAUAGCUGGCUUGUGUGUCAAUGACAGAUGACUGAUGCAGAGGGACACAUUCUGAUAUCAUUUACUCUCCAGUGAAGAUUCUGGAUUUACAUCUGGCUACUUUGGCAAAAGUAAGGUCAGAAUCUAUAUCUGAAUUGUCUUGGCAAACACUAUGUUAGCCUUUUCAAAGACACUUUUGAAGUUAUACUGUUAUGCCUAUUUAGUAAAUAAAGUUAAAG